rnacentral:misc_RNA from 1 species
AACCUGUUUUCUUCCUCGCAGAUAAUCAUAAAAAAGUUAGCGCACCAAAUACCACGACUUUGCUUGCAUAGGCUCAGGCCCACUUGCAGAGUGACUUAACAUUCACAGGGGCGAGACUCGAACCCGGGACCGCACGGACCGUCACGAGGCUCUGAUACCGCUUGAACUGAUAAGGAUAUCCUGCCCAUUUAGGGCACCAAAUACCUAUUAUCUUAGUCCGUAUUACGUUAACUGUUUAAUGAAUUAUGCUUUUCUGAUAAAAAAGAUUAUUUCAAUAUUAAAUUUUUA